rnacentral:rRNA from 1 species
AGUGAACGCUGGCGGUAGGCCUAACACAUGCAAGUCGAACGGCAGCACAGGAGAGCUUGCUCUCUGGGUGGCGAGUGGCGGACGGGUGAGGAAUACAUCGGAAUCUACCUUUUCGUGGGGGAUAACGUAGGGAAACUUACGCUAAUACCGCAUACGACCUUCGGGUGAAAGCAGGGGACCUUCGGGCCUUGCGCGGAUAGACGAGCCGAUGUCGGAUUAGCUAGUUGGCGGGGUAAAGGCCCACCAAGGCGACGAUCCGUAGCUGGUCUGAGAGGAUGAUCGGCCACACUGGAACUGAGACACGGUCCAGACCCCUACGGGAGGCAGCAGUGGGGAAUAUUGGACAAUGGGCGCAAGCCUGAUCCAGCCAUACCGCGUGGGUGAAGAAGGCCUUCGGGUUGUAAAGCCCUUUUGUUGGGAAAGAAAAGCAACCGGUUAAUACCUGGUUGUUCUGACGGUACCCAAAGAAUAAGCACCGGCUAACUUCGUGCCAGCCGCCGCCGUAA